rnacentral:rRNA from 1 species
AUUGAACGCUGGCGGCAGGCUUAACACAUGCAAGUCGAACGGUAACAUAAGAAAAGCUUGCUUUUUUUGAUGACGAGUGGCGGACGGGUGAGUAAUGCUUGGGAAUCUGCCUUAUGGAGGGGGAUAACUACGGGAAACUGUAGCUAAUACCGCAUAAUAUCUACGGAUUAAAGUGUGGGAUCUUCGGACCACAUACCAUAAGAUGAGCCCAAGUGAGAUUAGGUAGUUGGUGAGGUAAAGGCUCACCAAGCUGACGAUCUCUAGCUGGUUUGAGAGGAUGACCAGCCACACUGGGACUGAGACACGGCCCAGACUCCUACGGGAGGCAGCAGUGGGGAAUAUUGCACAAUGGGCGCAAGCCUGAUGCAGCCAUGCCGCGUGAAUGAAGAAGGCUUUCGGGUUGUAAAGUUCUUUCAUUAGUGAGAAAGGUAUAAAUGUUAAUAGCAUUUGUAAUUGAUGUUAGCUAAAGAAGAAGCACCGGCUAACUCCGUGCCAGCAGCCGCGGUAAUACGGAGGGUGCGAGCGUUAAUCGGAAUAACUGGGCGUAAAGGGCAUGCAGGCGGUUACUUAAGUCAGAUGUGAAAGCCCCGAGCUUAACUUGGGAAUUGCAUUUGAAACUGGGUGACUAGAGUCCUCUAGGGAGGGGUAGAAUUCCACGUGUAGCGGUGAAAUGCGUAGAGAUGUGGAGGAAUACCGAAGGCGAAGCAGCCCCUUGGAGAGAGACUGACGCUCAUAUGCGAAAGCGUGGGUAGCAAACAGG